AGCGAACGCUGGCGGCAGGCCUAACACAUGCAAGUCGAACGAAGCCUUCGGGCUUAGUGGCGGACGGGUGAGUAACACGUGGGAACGUACCUUUUGGUUCGGAACAACUCAGGGAAACUUGAGCUAAUAUCGGAUGAGCCCUUAGGGGGAAAGAUUUAUCGCCGAAAGAGCGGCCCGCGUUAGAUUAGCUAGUUGGUGAGGUAAAGGCUCACCAAGGCAACGAUCUAUAGCUGGUCUGAGAGGAUGAUCAGCCACACUGGGACUGAGACACGGCCCAGACUCCUACGGGAGGCAGCAGUGGGGAAUCUUGCGCAGUGGGCGAAAGCCUGACGCAGCCAUGCCGCGUGAAUGAUGAAGGUCUUAGGAUUGUAAAAUUCUUUUACCAGGGACGAUAAUGACGGUACCUGGAGAAAAAGCCCCGGCUAACUUCGUGCCAGCCGCCGCGGUAAUAC
rnacentral:rRNA from 1 species